AUUUAAGUAGUUUUAUUAAAAAUAUAGAUUUGUGGAUUCUAAGAAGCAUUAUUUGUCUUAAAUU
rnacentral:tRNA from 1 species